GUACAUGUAGCUCAGACGGGUGAGCAUCGUUCUAGAAAUACGAAGGUCGCGGGUUCGAAUCCCAGCCACGGUCA